rnacentral:tRNA from 1 species
GCCCGGUUGGCGUAAUAGGUAGCCGCGGCGGACUUAAAAUCCGUUCCUUAGGGGUGCCAGUUCGAGUCUGGCACCGGGCA